UCGAGGAUCUUCGGCAAUGAGCGAAAGCUUGACCGAGCGACGCCGCGUGGACGAUGAAGGCCUUCGGGUUGUAAAGUCCUGUCGAGGGGGAUCAAGGGCAACUUGAGUGAUCCCUGGAGGAAGCACGGGCUAAGUUCGUGCCAGCAGCCGCGGUAAGACGAACCGUGCAAACGUUAUUCGGAAUCACUGGGCAUAAAGGGCGCGUAGGCGGCUUUCUAAGUCAGGGGUGAAAUCCGGCAGCUCAACUGUCGCAGUGCCUUUGAUACUGGGAAGCUCGAGGGAUGUAGGGGUCUGUGGAACUUCCGGUGGAGCGGUGAAAUGCGUUGAUAUCGGAAGGAACGCCGGUGGCGAAAGCGACGGACUGGACAUCUUCUGACGCUGAGGCGCGAAAGCCAGGGGAGCAAACGGGAUUAGAUACCCGUGUAGUCC
rnacentral:rRNA from 1 species